CGUAAGCAAAGGUACAUAUCUACAAAUAUUGACGGAAAAUUGGGUUAAAUUUGGUGGCUAUCGAAUUCUUAGCCAAGCGCCAUGGAUGCCGUAAGAUGCUGCAGGGCACAACCCAUUCUCGGUCGUCCUCGCGACUUCGACGGUUCCAUCUCCCCCCACUGGGAAAACUUACUCACACAUUGCGGGUUUUACAAAUGUUUAAUGAAUAUGCCUUUAAGACCAAAAAUUUUGCCGCCGUCUUCAAUAUUUACGCGGUCAAAGCAAAGGAUUUGUUUUGCUGGACAAAGGCUACAGGCGCCUCGAAAAGUCAUGCUCCCCACCAGACACGCAUUGGUAGAGCUCGCAUGUAAACACGGCCCUCAAGAGGAACACACGCGAUGCGCUCGUGUCGGUUCACCUAAUCCUGAGGAGCUCCUGGGGAAAAGAAGGGACCGUUUACCUUAUACUCGCGACCUUUCUGAUUCUAGGCAAACGACGAGGAAAAAUAAGGCUCUCGGGUUUAAAUCCGGAUAAAUUCACAAUUAAACAGGGAAGUAAAUAACAAUAUCAAUAAUCAAGGUACACAUUUAUUUACCUGUCCUAAAUAUCAGCCCCUACUGGGCCGGGCCUGGAGGGCGAUUACAGCCCGAGCUGAAGACUCCACAAAGAAAAACUGGCGCACUACAGUGAGAUUCGUAAGAGCAGUCCGAGGUUCGGCCGCCCGACAAAAUGGCGAAAUCGCGCUGAAAUCCGUAGAACUACCAACUCCAUCCAAAACCCUGCCAGUUCUAAUAUGUAGCUUCUGCACACAGCGACACAUCCGAAGAAGAAGAAAAUAAUAAGAGAUUACCCUUCAGCUCUGCAGUAGGGAUGCGGCGACAUGUCUGAAGGAGCGUUGGCCAAGGACUCGGAGGACCCGGACAAAUGUUUAAAGAUGGCGAAGACCAAUGUAAAAAGCAAAUUAACGAAACCUAGAACUAGGCUUAAGCCUACUAAUAGUACUCACAUCGGCGAAGAACGCCAGCUCAUCAUAGGAGUGAGCGAGAGGCAAAUAGGCGACUAACGCUUUUUGUCGGGUCCAUUUUUCAGCGCGGUACUCAGAUAAGCUAAGUAAGGACCACAAAAAAUACCAGAUUUCGCGAGUGCAUCUUGCUCCGUUAGCCACCGCCCAAAGAAUAAAAAAUGUAAAAAAUGUAUAAUUUUGAUGUGUUCGUGCAGAACCGGUGUUUAACGAAAAACUCAAAAUGGAUGGCAAAACCCAAAAAGCCUGCAGGAGGUCAGUGCAAGGUGAAGGACGCGCUGGCUGCUAUAUGAAGGCGGAAAAACGGAACGCCCGCUAAGAGACAGCUUGAGGAGCCAAGACCAUCCAUUGCCAGGAUGCUGGGCGACGUCCUGCUGGUGCUCAGCGGAACAAGCCCGUUUCCAAUCCUGAUGCCACUUACUUCAGGCCCAUAUUGGCAAAUUGCGAAUCAGAGCUGACCUGCAGAAGGCGCAGAGAAGAUGGGGAAGCAUCCGCGACAUGAGGAGGUAGCCUUAAACUUCUAUCUAACAUUAACAAAAACAUCCUUUGAACAUUCGAUGCAUAUUUCUUUCGUUGCGCAUCAGCAGAUUCAUCUUUUUGAAAUCGUCAACAAAAAAAAACCCAGCUGCUUGACAGGAAGACCAUGCUACAUGAAUUGAGGGUCAACUUUAAGAACUUAGCUCACACUACAAAGAAUGCGAUUUUUCGACUAGUGAAACUCUUAGCCGAUCUGAGUACUAGGCUUAAGAAAGAGACGGGAAAGGUCGCUACAACACCGCUUUAAUUGAUAGUGGGAGUUCAUAUGUUGGAAUAAAUAUGCUGAAAAUAUUUAUUUAGUAUUUUGUUCGAGCUUAGGAGGUGAACCUUGUAAAGUUCGGUCACACUACAAAGAAUACGAUUUUUCGACUAGUGAAACUCUUAGCCGAUCCGAGUACUAUGCUUUGAACACGUCUCCCAGAGUUGGCCAAAAUAAGGGAUUUGUUAAAAAUGUUGUAAAGGAAUACUGUUGAACCACAAUAGUUCGCAUUCAAUUUUUUCUAAAUGGAACUCUGAUUCUAAGUCCAUUUGCACAUAGAAAUGAAGAAAUCAUUGCCCGCUAAAAAUAUUGAAAGUACUUGCAUUGAAAUUGUGUUAAGUUUUGCGUUUUAGUCCAUUUUAUUUUCCGAAAAGCUUAAAAUUGCACGAGCUCACCUCUGGUUUCGUUUUGUUUACGCCGAUCAGCUGUUUUUGCAUCAUCGAUUCUCUUUGUGAAAGCCUAGUACUCACAUUGACGAAAACCGCGAGCUAACCAUAGGAGUGAGCGAGAGGCAAACAGCCGGCUAC